GACAGAGGGUGCAAACGUUGUUCGGAUUUACUGGGCGUAAAGCGCGUGUAGGCGGCUUUGCAAGUCGGAUGUGAAAGCCCACGGCUCAACCGUGGAAGUGCAUCCGAAACUGCAUGGCUUGAGUCUCGGAGAGGAAGGUGGAAUGCUUGGUGUAGAGGUGAAAUUCGUAGAUAUGUGGAGGAACACCGAUGGCGAAGGCAGCCUUCUGGGCCAACACUGACGCUCAUGCACGAAAGCGUGGGGAGCAAACAGG
rnacentral:rRNA from 1 species